CCUGGAUGCAGUACAUUAUGACUUAACAUAAUUAAGAUAAGAUAACAUGCUCUCAGCAAGUUGAGGAUCGCCAGAAUUUUUUGAACAGAAGUGUGGCUUUGCUGACAUUCCUAAAGAGAAGGACCCUCCUCAGCACUUGUUAAAAAGAAUGGCCAUCAGGAAAGCUUACCAGACUAAUAAGCCAUCUCAUGACAUCAACUGAAUUUCCUUCCUUCCUCAAAAUCCAGGUAUAACCCUUGAGAAGAGAUCCAACCCCAACUCAAUGUAUGUCUGUCCCAGAUAGAAAGCAUAGGAAGACACCG
rnacentral:lncRNA from 1 species